GAAAACGGAGCAAACCCCCAGUCCCAAAACUCCGGUAGUCGGUCUCCGAGAACUUCAAAGAAUGGCGUCGUCCGCCGGUCUCCGAGAAUUGCAGCGCGACCUAGAGAACAAAGCCAACGAUCUUAGCAAACUUCAAAAAGAUAUAUCAAAGAAUCAUCAAAUCAGAAAGAAGUACACUAUUCAACUUGGCGAAAACGAGCUUGUUCUCAAGGAAUUGGAUCUGUUGAAUGAAGAUGCCAAUGUUUACAAGUUGAUAGGACCAGUACUUGUGAAGCAGGACAUGGCAGAAGCUAGGGCCAAUGUCAAAAAGCGAAUUGAAUACAUUUCAGCUGAACUAAAACGAUUAGAUAGUACUCUUCAAGACUUGGAAGAAAAGCAGAACAGCAAAAAGGAAACGAUUCUGAAGUUGCAGCAAAAGAUUCAGUCUCUCCAGGCGGGUAAAGGCAAGGCCUGAUGCGUCUUAGGGAUCAACAUUGCACCACGGGCAUGUUAAUUUGAUCGCAUUAAAACAGGUGGACUUGAUAAAAGGAACAGAGGCCUCAUUUUGCUUCAUUAUUUAGAUCCAUUAAUACUGCAAGAAAGGGGUCAACUCUAACUUGGUAGAACUUUUUAUUUUUUGGUACUACCCAGUGUUCAGUAUUUGUAUUGGAAAAAAAUCUUUACUCGCUAGAAACUAGUGGGCAAAAUGGAUUUAAAAGAUCUACUAAAUUUGGUUUUGAUUUUAAUCAUAAAUCGAUUCUAAUGUGAACCAUGAACGCUCCCUUUUUAGAUCAU